rnacentral:tRNA from 1 species
GGUUGUGUAGUGUAGUGGUCAUCACUCCGGAUUUUGAUCACAUCAAAAUCGCUUAUUCCGGCGACCCCGGUUCGAACCCGGGCACGACCU